UACGGAGGAUGCAAGCGUUAUCCGGAAUUAUUGGGCGUAAAGCGUCCGCAGGUGGCACCUCAAGUCUGCUGUCAAAGACCGGGGCUUAACUUCGGAAAGGCAGUGGAAACUGAACAGCUAGAGUAUGGUAGGGGCAGAGGGAAUUCCUGGUGUAGCGGUGAAAUGCGUAGAGAUCGGCAGGAACACCCAAGGGGAAGCCAGCUGACUGGCCCGGUACUGACACUCAGGGACGACAGCGUGGGGAGCGAACCGG
rnacentral:rRNA from 1 species